rnacentral:misc_RNA from 1 species
GAUUUCAUUAUUUUGUUACUUUUACUGACGAUUAAUCCCGUUGCACUUGGGCGUUUUUAGUAAGGCAUCAUUCUGAAUUGUUCUCUAUUUUUAAAAAAUUUUGUGCUGAAAUUCAUAAUUAAUUUAGUGUUAUAAUUAAGGUAUUACGCAGUGAUAAUGCAAAAGAAUACUUAUUUUUUCCCUUCACCAAUUUCAUGUUUUCUCAGGGAAUCACUCAUCAAAGUGCUUGUGCAUAUACUUCACAGCAAAAUGGAGUUGCUGAACGUAAAAAUCGGCAUCUUAUUGAAAUUGCCCAUACCUUACUUGUACACAAUAGUGUUCUACUUCGUUUUUGGGCAGAUGCUGUUCUCACUGCUUGUUAUUUAAUUAACUGAAUGUCUUCUUCUGUGUUACUGCAUCAAAAGUCCUCACUUAAUUUUAUUUCCAAAUCAAAAACCCCAUCAUCUAUCAUUACGUGUGUUUGGCUGCAUCUGCUUUGUUCAUGAUCACAAGCCAGGGAAAGAUAAACUCCAGCCUAAAUCUGUUAAGUGUGUCUUUUUAUGAUACUACUGUCCUAAAAAAGGUUACAAAUGCUAUGAAAACAAACAAACAUUUUAUCUCAGCAAUUUUAACAUUCUUUGAAACAUUCCCCUAUUUUUCAAUAAACAUAGAAAUCAAAAGACUCAUUUUUGAUGUUUUACCUAUUCCUCCUCUUCUCUCCCCAUUCAAAGUCAGUACUCCUAGUUCUCCUCCUCUUCAAGUCUACUCCCAUCGCCCUCACCCCUCUAUCCACACUAAAAAUACUUCUCUUCAUGAUGCAAGUGCAUUGGUUGCUCUUGAUAACUCAUCACCUAUUCCUCCGUCAUCUACUUCGGCCUUGCCUGCAAUAGAGACAGCAUCUCCUCCCAUUGCCUUUCGUAAAGGUAUUCGUUCCUCUCGAAACCUUUGUCCCAUUUAUAAUUUUUUAAGUUAUCAUUAUCUAUCACCAUUCUAUUAUGCAUUUGUUUUCACCUUGUCUAAUGUUUUUAUACC